rnacentral:rRNA from 1 species
CUCUGUGACUCCUACGGGAGGCAGCAGUGGGGAAUAUUGCACAAUGGGCGCAAGCCUGAUGCAGCCAUGCCGCGUGUAUGAAGAAGGCCUUCGGGUUGUAAAGUACUUUCAGCAGUGAGGAAGGUGGUGUAGUUAAUAGCUGCAUUAUUUGACGUUAGCUGCAGAAGAAGCACCGGCUAACUCCGUGCCAGCAGCCGCGGUAAUACGGAGGGUGCGAGCGUUAAUCGGAAUUACUGGGCGUAAAGCGCAUGCAGGUGGUUUGUUAAGUCAGAUGUGAAAGCCCGGGGCUCAACCUCGGAAUUGCAUUUGAAACUGGCAGACUAGAGUACUGUAGAGGGGGUAGAAUUUCAGGUGUAGCGGUGAAAUGCGUAGAGAUCUGAAGGAAUACCGGUGGCGAAGGCGGCCCCCUGGACAGAUACUGACACUCAGAUGCGAAAGCGUGGGGAGCAAACAGGAUUAGAUACCCUGGUAG